rnacentral:rRNA from 1 species
AUUGAACGCUAGCGGGAUGCUUUACACAUGCAAGUCGAACGAGUGGCGGACGGGUGAGUAAUAUAUCGGAACGUGCCCGGUAGCGGGGGAUAACUACUCGAAAGGGUGGCUAAUACCGCAUACCAUCAGAUCGGCCCAUAGGGGAUUAGCUUGUUGGUGGGGUAAAGGCUCACCAAGGCAACGAUCCGUAGCUGGUUUGAGAGGAUGACCAGCCACACUGGAACUGAGACACGGCCCAGACUCCUACGGGAGGCAGCAGGGGGGAAUAUUGGACAAUGGGGGAAACCCUGAUGCAGCCAUCCCGCGUGUAUGAGAAGGCCUUCGGGUUGUAAAGUACUUUUGGCAGGGAAGCGGUAUCUGCAGAAGAAGCACCGGCUAACUACGUGCCAGCAGCCGCGGUAAUAC